rnacentral:rRNA from 1 species
GUAGCAUAAUCAUUUGGUUUUUAAUAGAGAUCUGGAAUGAAAGGUCAAACAAAUGUUAUUUUUUUAUUUACAAAGAGUGAAUUUAAGGUUUAAGUAAAAACGCUUAAUUUAUUUGUGGGACGAUAAGACCCUAAAAGCUUUACUUUAAGAUUUAAAGUAUUUUUAGUGUUUAAUUAAACAGGUGAUUGGUUGGGGUAACAACUCUAAAUAUAUUAGGGUUAUUUUAUAUAGUGUGGUUAAGUAAAGGUCCUUUUAAUCAGGAUAGUAGAUAUAGUUACUUUAGGGGUAACAGGGUAAUUAUUUUAUGGAGCUCUUAUCUGCAAAAUAGAUUGCUACCUCGAUGUUGAAUUAAGAUUUCGGUGCGAUGCAAAAGGCGUGCUUGAGGGUUUGUUCAACCUUUAAUUUUUU